GUCGUUGUUCAGAGUUGCCUGUGCUCACAGGACUGCACCCUGAUGACACCAGCUUAGUGCCUUCAGCCUUCCUGAGGAAGCAGACCUUGGUCUUCAGCAGGAAUGUCAGGGGAUUUUUCUGGAGUGCUUGGUGAUUUUGUUGUUUUUAGGGGAAAAAAGAAAAAAAAACCCAUUGUAUUUAUUUUUUUUCCAAAGUCAGCUUCUUUGCUGAUAAAAAUGUUACUUGUAUUCCAUCUUUAAGGGUUUUACAGCUAUUUUUGCUUCUUCCCUAACACUGCUUGUGCUCUUCCCACUUUCCCUGUGAACAACCUCCUCUUGAAGGAAUCUCUUCUCAAAUCCAGAAUAUCUGAGUGCCAAACUAAACCCCCGAGUAAGUCAGUAACCCAAAGCUGCACAGAGGAGCCCUGCCAUUAGGACCACACUUCGCCAGGAGCAAAUGAGAGUUAUGGAAAGGCUGUGGCCUGGGCUACAGGCAGCCGUUUGCCUGGUGGCUCCCAUCACCUGGGUGCGGUUAAGGGCUGUGCUAGUGGCUGUACAGAGCCUUGAAAGGAAGCUCAGUGUCCUGCCUGUUUUUUCAGUACCCAAAGUCCCUGCUGAUAGCAGCUUCCUCGCCGCAGAGAAGUGCGGAGACUGCUUCCCCGGGUAUGCUCCGAGCCGUUGGUCCCGUUGGACGGCAGCGCUCCGUCUGUUAUCCCGAAAAGCGUGUUUAUUUGCCCAGUGUGCAAAAUGCCAAACUACACACAAAGCGGAGGUAUUCUAUUCAAGUCAUUUUUGUGCAAAGAUUGGUGCUAGGUGGUAACCCACAAAGCUAGGGCACCACCCUGAGAAACUACAAGGCAUUUAUACAAUUAAAUAUGUCAAUCACAGCUAAUAUUCACAUGCCUCAGCUAAUAAUUUGUUAAUUUCUUUCUUGCUUUGAUGUAACAGGACAGCCCACUUUGAUUUACUGUGCAUGCUCAUAGACUAAGGGACUUACUAGAGGGGGGGUGGUUCCUGGCCUGUGGGCCUGAUUUUCAGUAUUAUCACAAGGAUAGUUCCCCUACUGGGCACUUAGUUCUUAUAUACAUUCCAGUUAGUUGUGUGGUUCGCCUUGACUACGCAGUUUAUCACCCCGUUCUCAGCAGCUUAUGAGGUGGGAUGUUUACUUUAAUCCGUCUCUCAGCUCUCCUCAAGGAUAUAGUCAUGAAACAGGUGCUUCCCUGUCUCUCAGUUUCUGUCUCCGGCCCUCAACUUCUGCUGCGCCAGGCUCCCAUAGUUAAUUGUUACGGCUUUAGCAGACAGUUCAAAAAUUCCAUUUUCUGAGGGAUAUCAGGCCGGGCCCCAGUUUUGCAGUGAGUCCACCUGCAGAGAGUACCGGGGGCCUUUCGGCUGAGUGUCCUGCCCGUGCCCGCUCAGCGUCCCCAGCGUUACAGCGGUUCGGGGAGCGCUGGGGCCGAGGGCGGCCCUCCCGGUGUCCCGCGGCCCGGCAGUCCCGUCGCUAUGGCAGCGGGGGCGGGGCGUGCCGGUCUGACAGGGGACUCGUCCCCGGGAGGGGCCCGCUACUGGCCAAUGAGCCCUUGGGUGGGGCGGUAGCACUGACCAAUGGCUGGCGGUCGUUGCCUGGAGGGCGGGGCUGGAGGCGCUGAGGGGCGACGGCCGUACGGGGGUCGGUUAAACGGGCGCGGCGGCGGCGCGUUCGCCUGUCUUUGAGCCUCUCCCGCGUCGCUCCGCACAGGGCCCCUCCCGCGGCGCCGCCGCACGGUGAGGGGGGUGGCGGGCGGCAGUGCCCGGGCCCCUUCCCGCCGCGGCCGCCCCCAGCGUCCACGGGAGCUGCAGGCGGGACCUUCCUCGCAGCCUCGUGGGGCUGUGAGCCCUUGGCCGCGGCUGCGGCCAUGCUCGGUAACCACGGCUGUGGUGAAGGAUACAGACAUGUCUGAGGAGAUGCAGUGAGACGCUGUGGAGCACGCCGUUCAGUCUCAGGAGGAAUGGAAAAUUGAGCACGACAUUGCAGCUCAUAUAAAGAGGAUAAGUGUUUGCUUGUAGUGUUUUCCUACUGAAUGUUGUAUGGACUUCAAAAAUCAAGCACAAAUGUUAGUGAGUAAACAGUUCUAGAGAAGCAAGUUCUGUGGACACAGAUAAUUCAGGCAGACUUUCUCUGCAGGCUGGUGUCCUUAUGUUCCUUUCUGCAACGCUUACACGCACCGGUUCCCAUUUUCUUUCACAAGUCCUAUUUAAGUCCUUUCCUCCGCUCUCCGAAGGCAGCACUUGAAUAGUGAGUGAGUUCCCAGUGGCCUCCUCUGCAGGAGCUUGACAGGAAAUACAAUCCUACCUCACAGUGUGCUGUGGAAAAGAGUUUUGUGACUCACAAGAUCAGUCACUUCAUCCUUAUCUGCUUGGGUCCUGUUACUGUCCUCCUCCUCAAGGGUGCUUAGAGCCAUGAACUAUUUCUUAAACUCUCGUCUUUUUACUCAGCUUUCUGCUAACGUCAUGAAGCCCAGUACCUUCAGCCUUCCUGAGGAAGCAGAGCUCUGCCUUCGAGGGCAAUGGCAGGGGUUUUGCUAGCAUGUUUUUAUUGUAGUUAAGGGGAAAAUAGCAAACAACAAAAAUAGACACACAAACAAAAUACUUCCUUGUAUUUAUUUUAUUUCCACAGCCAGCUUCUUUGCUAAUAAAAGUGUUAUGUUCUGCCUUUAAAA